GGACCCGCACAAGUAGUGGAGCAUGUGGUUUAAUUCGAAGAUACGCGCAGAACCUUACCAACACUUGACAUGUUCGUCGCGACUUUAAGAGAUUAAAGUUUUCGGUUCGGCCGGACGAAACACAGGUGCUGCAUGGCUGUCGUCAGCUCGUGUCGUGAGAUGUUGGGUUAAGUCCCGCAACGAGCGCAACCCUCACUUUUUAGUUGCCAUCAUUUAGUUGGGCACUCUGAAAGAACUGCCAGUGAUAAGCUGGAGGAAGGUGGGGAUGACGUCAAGUCCUCAUGGCCCUUACGUGUUGGGCUACACACGUGCUACAAUGGUAUCUACAACAGGAAGCAAAACCGCGAGGUUAAGCAAAUCCCUAAAAGAUACCUCAGUUCGGAUUGCACUCUGCAACUCGAGUGCAUGAAGCUGGAAUUACUAGUAAUCG
rnacentral:rRNA from 1 species